UAUGUUUUGCAUUUGUGUGAUUUGAGAUCCCAAGGUUUUCAAUUUUCAUUUGACGUCAGUCGUCAAAUCGUCAAUCAAAGGGAAGGAAUAUAACCAUUACCUUUCAUCAAUAAUAUUGUCAAACCCCGGGAAAUCGCACAAAUAAACAAGCGCCGUUUAGUUUUGCUUUUGCAUAACGGUAACGUUAGUAGUCAAAACAUAAUUAAUUAAUUGUGAUCAUUUUGAUAAAAAACUCUAAUAGUGAAGUGCGAACUGGUUGGUGGUUGCUAUACUGUAUACAUUAUAUUUACGUACUUUGAGUGAUCUAUCAAAUCUAAGCAGCCAACCUAAGCCACAUUUCCAUCCAGAACAAUUUAGAUUACUUGGUAAGAACUGUAAUUAAUUUGAACUUUCAAUUGUUUUAUGGUUGCAAGCAAUAUUUAGAGGUCAAGUGUGUUUAACUCUGCUAUCUUAUAUUGAACUUUAGUGGCAUUUAUAGUGUGACCAUAUUGUAACUGACAAGUGGAAUCCUUUUAUAUGUUUUAAGAUUUAGCAAAGAUAGAACAAUUGUUUUGUUUUUAAAUAUGAACUUUAUUUUUUACACUGGUAUACAUAUAGCAUGUUAUCUAUUAAUGCAUGUUAUGAAUUAGCAUAAUGAGAUGAAAAUGCGAAUUGAUAAAAUUUUCUAUAAACAAAAAGAAAUAUAUUUUUUCUACUUUUACUACUUUGGAUACAUGCAGUUUCUUAUAGAUAAUUAUGUGUAUUGUUUUUGUAUGAUUAAUCUAUACUAACAUAUAAAGCUGACUAGUUUUUUUGAACGGGUUAAUCUCGGAAACUACUAAACCAAUUUAGAUAAUUUUUACUGGUAAUAAGCUACAUUAUCCCUAAGUUCUAUAGCCUUAUUUAUACCGGGUAAAUAUAAAGCGGGACUUUUAUCUUGUAAAAAAUUUAACACUCGGGCGGAGCCGCGAGCAAAAGUUAUAUUACAGGCCUUGCCUAGUUUGGGUACCACUGGUUAUUUGCGUUGUUACAUAUAAUUUCCUGUAAUUUUAUUUAUUUUUGUAUAUUUUAAGCUUUUUUGUAAGUCUGUUUUGUAAUAAACUGUUUGAAUUUUGAA